AAGUCGUAACAAGGUUUCCGUAGGUGAACCUGCGGAAGGAUCAUUACAACGUAUCCACGUACCAAACUCUCGAACCGUUCCCAAUGAGGAGAAGUUAAUAGUCGCUGCUUUUCGCUGAUGGAGUUCGCUUGGCGAACUGAAAGGCUGUCGACUGCCGGCUUGUCUGGGACUUCGUCCCUCAUUGCGGUUUUACCAUCAGCUUGUUUUACCAUUAUUAACCCUUUUAAAUUUCGAACUGAACUAUGAACUCAAGUGGUUGUCCUCGCUGGCUUCGGUCACGGACGGUUGCUUGUUUUCACACAUACGAAACAAAGAACAACUUUUAACAACGGAUCUCUUGGUUCUG
rnacentral:misc_RNA from 1 species